UCGGGAAUAUUGCGCAAUGGAGGAAACUCUGACGCAGUGACGCCGCGUGCAGGAAGAAGGUUUUCGGAUUGUAAACUGCUUUAGACAGGGAAGAAAAAGGACAGUACCUGUAGAAUAAGCUCCGGCUAACUACGUGCCAGCAGCCGCGGUAAUACGUAGGGAGCAAGCGUUAUCCGGAUUUAUUGGGUGUAAAGGGUGCGUAGACGGGAAGUCAAGUUAGUUGUGAAAUCCCUCGGCUCAACUGAGGAACUGCAACUAAAACUAACUUUCUUGAGUGCUGGAGAGGAAAGUGGAAUUCCUAGUGUAGCGGUGAAAUGCGUAGAUAUUAGGAGGAACACCAGUGGCGAAGGCGACUUUCUGGACAGUAACUGACGUUGAGGCACGAAAGUGUGGGGAGCAAACAGGAUUAGAACCC
rnacentral:rRNA from 1 species